GCCGGAAACGAACCCGUCCUCUGGAGCGGAAAGCUGCCGGCUUGUUGGGUGCUAGCAAGAACCUAUCCAGGGUCGAGGUUCGGUGUGUUUGUUUCCACGUGCCUCUGUCCUAACCGGCUCCGCCCCCAAAUUUUCACGUGUACAAGCUCGCCUUCCGCGCCAACUGUUGGAGUUCACCGUGGUGACCAUCUGACAUGUCUCAAACAGCUGCCUCAAAGCAUCCCUCCUCCAGGUGCCCCCUUCCCACCUUCCAGGGGUUAUAAAACAAGCAAACACACAAAGGAGAAUAUGCGACAGAAACUAGAUGUCCACCCUGUGGCCAUGUGUGAUCUGUGAACCAUCUCUUCUGUUGGCUGCAGGAAUCCUGGUGAAAGGUGGCUUUUCUUCCAUCCAGGCAGCAGUGA